rnacentral:rRNA from 1 species
AUACGGAGGGUGCGAGCGUUAAUCGGAAUUACAGGGCGUAAAGCGUACGUAGGCGGUUGGUUAAGUUAGAUGUGAAAGCCCCGGGCUUAACCUGGGAACUGCAUUUAAAACUGGCGAACUAGAGUUGAGUAGAGGGGAGUGGAAUUUCAGGUGUAGCGGUGAAAUGCGUAGAGAUCUGAAGGAACACCAGUGGCGAAGGCGACUCCCUGGACUCGAACUGACGCUGAGGUACGAAAGCGUGGGUAGCAAACGGGAUUAGAAACCCCAGUAGUCC